rnacentral:lncRNA from 1 species
CACAUAGCAAUAUUCCAAAUCCUAGGAGAUCAAAGGGCAGAGAAUGAAAGGACAAAGAGGGAAAGCACACUCGAUCGAUAGGUGUAGGAAGAGUGUGAGGAAGAUAAGGGACAAUAAGGUCAGAGUGUUAGUCAAAACGGUCGGAGAUUUGUUGGGGAUUCUGAGAGGCAUGCGCGGGGCGUCAUCCCAUCAGCUGUAGCUAUCGGAACCGCAGGCAGAUGAAUACGAAUGCCCCGGCCCCUAUUAAGACUGUACCCGUUCUAUGUUUGACUGUUGCACUCCUUUCAUCUCUAGUCGUUUUCCGCGGCAGAGAUUAGUACACACGCGAUCUGUGUGUUUGCUGUUUGUCUCUGGACGAGACGACUGGGCUUUCUUGAUUGGGGUUUGCCAAUUAUAGGUAGACAAUCUCGACAUCACGUUGAUUUUCCCUCUUAGCUUCUGUUUUUGCCAUCCCCUUCUUUUUGCCAUUUUCUUCUCGGAAUAUGGUGAUUGGGGUUUUGCCAAUUAUAGGUAGACAAUCUCGACAUCACGUAGAUUUUCCCUCUUAGCUUCUGUUUUUGCCAUCCC